UACGUAGGGCGCGAGCGUUGUCCGGAAUUAUUGGGCGUAAAGAGCUCGUAGGCGGCCUGUCGCGUCCGCUGUGAAAUCCCGGGGCUUAACCCCGGGCCUGCAGUGGAUACGGGCAGGCUGGAGGCAGGCAGGGGAGAACGGAAUUCCCGGUGUAGCGGUGAAAUGCGCAGAUAUCGAGAGGAACACCAGUGGCGAAGGCGAGUCCCUGGACAACACCUGACACUGAGGCACGAAAGCUAGGGGAGCAAACAGG
rnacentral:rRNA from 1 species